GUCCGUGGUAGGAGAGCGUUCUAAGGGCGGUGAAGCCAGACCGGGAGGACUGGUGGAGCGCUUAGAAGUGAGAAUGCCGGUAUGAGUAGCGAAAGAAGGGUGAGAAUCCCUUCCACCGAAUGCCUAAGGUUUCCUGAGGAAGGCUCGUCCUCUCAGGGUUAGUCGGGACCUAAGCCGAGGCCGAAAGGCGUAGGCGAUGGAUAACAGGUUGAUAUUCCUGUACCACCUCACUCCGUUUGAGCGAUGGGGGGACGCAGGAGGAUAGGGUAAGCGCACAGCUGGUUGUGCGUCCAAGCAGUUAGGCCGGUGACGAGGCAAAUCCCGUCACCAUGAAGGCGGAGCUGUGACGGCGAGGGAAAGAUAGUACCGAAGUUCCUGAUUCCACACUGCCAAGAAAAGCCUCUAGCGAGGAGACAGGUGCCCGUACCGCAAACCGACACAGGUAGGCGAGGAGAGAAUCCUAAGGUGAGCGAGUGAACUCUCGUUAAGGAACUCGGCAAAAUGACCCCGUAACUUCGGGAGAAGGGGUGCUCUUUGGGGUGCAUAGCCCUGAGGAGCCGCAGUGAAUAGGCCCAGGCGACUGUUUAGCAAAAACACAGGUCUCUGCGAAGCCGCAAGGCGAAGUAUAGGGGCUGACGCCUGCCCGGUGCUGGAAGGUUAAGAGGAGGGGUUAGCUUACGCGAAGCUCUGAAUUGAAGCCCCAGUAAACGGCGGCCGUAACUAUAACGGUCCUAAGGUAGCGAAAUUCCUUGUCGGGUAAGUUCCGACCCGCACGAAAGGCGUAACGAUCUGGGCACUGUCUCAACGAGAGACUCGGUGAAAUUAUAGUACCUGUGAAGAUGCAGGUUACCCGCGACAGGACGGAAAGACCCCGUGGAGCUUUACUGCAGCCUGAUAUUGAAUUUCGGCACAGCUUGUACAGGAUAGGUAGGAGCCUUUGAAACCGGAGCGCCAGCUUCGGUGGAGGCGUCGGUGGGAUACUACCCUGGCUGUGUUGAACUUCUAACCCGCACCCGUGAUCCGGGUGGGAGACAGUGUCAGGCAGGCAGUUUGACUGGGGCGGUCGCCUCCUAAAGAGUAACGGAGGCGCCCAAAGGUUCCCUCAGAAUGGUUGGAAAUCAUUCGCAGAGUGUAAAGGCACAAGGGAGCUUGACUGCGAGACCUACAAGUCGAGCAGGGACGAAAGUCGGGCUUAGUGAUCCGGUGGUUCCGCAUGGAAGGGCCAUCGCUCAACGGAUAAAAGCUACCCCGGGGAUAACAGGCUUAUCUCCCCCAAGAGUCCACAUCGACGGGGAGGUUUGGCACCUCGAUGUCGGCUCAUCGCAUCCUGGGGCUGUAGUCGGUCCCAAGGGUUGGGCUGUUCGCCCAUUAAAGCGGUACGCGAGCUGGGUUCAGAACGUCGUGAGACAGUUCGGUCCCUAUCCGUCGCGGGCGCAGGAAAUUUGAGAGGAGCUGUCCUUAGUACGAGAGGACCGGGAUGGACGCACCGCUGGUGUACCAGUUGUCUUGCCAAAGGCAUCGCUGGGUAGCUAUGUGCGGACGGGAUAAGUACUGAAAGCAUCUAAGCAUGAAGCCCCCCUCAAGAUGAGAUUUCCCAUAGCGUCAAGCUAGUAAGAUCCCUGAAAGAUGAUCAGGUAGAUAGGUUCGAGGUGGAAGCGUGGCGACACGUGGAGCUGACGAAUACUAAUCGAUCGAGGACUUAUCCUA
rfam:Bacillaceae bacterium MTCC 8252 Contig86, whole genome shotgun sequence.